UUGACCUCGGAUCAGGUAGGACUACCCGCUGAACUUAAGCAUAUCAAUAAGCGGAGGAAAAGAAACCAACAGGGAUUGCCCCAGUAACGGCGAGUGAAGCGGCAACAGCUCAGAUUUGGAAUCUGGCCCCCAGGGCCCGAGUUGUAAUCUGGAGAGGAUGCUUCUGGCGCGGCGCCUUCCGAGUUCCCUGGAACGGGACGCCGGAGAGGGUGAGAGCCCCGUACGGUUGGACGCCUAGCCUUUGUGAAGCUCCUUCGACGAGUCGAGUAGUUUGGGAAUGCUGCUCAAAAUGGGAGGUAAAUUUCUUCUAAAGCUAAAUACCGGCCAGAGACCGAUAGCGCACAAGUAGAGUGAUCGAAAGAUGAAAAGCACUUUGAAAAGAGGGUCAAACAGUACGUGAAAUUGUUGAAAGGGAAGCGCCCGUGGCCAGACUUGUGCCCCGCGGACCACCCGGCGCCCUCAGCGCCGGUGCACUCCUCGGGGCGCAGGCCAGCAUCGGUUUUCCUAGGGGGAUAAAGGCGGCGGGAACGUGGCUCCCUCGGGAGUGUUAUAGCCCGCCGCGCCAUGCCCCUGGGGGGACCGAGGACCGCGCUUCGGCAAGGAUGCUGGC
rnacentral:rRNA from 1 species